rnacentral:rRNA from 1 species
AGUGGCGAACGGGUGAGUAACGCGUUGGUGACCUGCCCCGAAGAGGGGGAUAACAGUCCGAAAGGAUUGCUAAUACCCCAUGUGGUUACCGGUUUUAGAAUCCGGCAACUAAAGUCGUAAGACACUUUGGGAGGGACCUGCGUCCCAUCAGCUAGUUGGUAAGGUAACGGCUUACCAAGGCUACGACGGGUAGGGGACCUGAGAGGGUGGACCCCCACAAUGGCACUGAAACACGGGCCAUACACCUACGGGUGGCAGCAGUAGGGAAUAUUGCUUAAUGUGCGAAAGCGCGAAGCAGCAACGCCGCGUGUGCGAUGAAGGCCUUCGGGUCGUAAAGCACUUUUUAGAGGGAUGAGAAAGGACAGUACCUCUAGAAUAAGCCUCGGCUAACUACCUGCCAGCAGCCGCGGUAAAACGUAGGAGGCGAGCGUUAUCCGGAAUUACUGGGCGUAAAGCGCGUGCAGGCGGUUCGGUUAGUUGGAUGUGAAAGCUCCCUGGCUUAACUAGGAGAGGUCGUUCAAUACUGCCGAACUUGAGAGUGGUAGAGGGAGAUGGAAUUCCCGCAUGUAGUGGUGAAAUGCGUAGAUAUGCGGAGGAACACCAGUGGCGAAAGCGGUCUCCUGGCCCACUUCUGACGCUCAGACGCGAAAGCUAGGGUAGCAAACGGGAUUAGAGACCCCGGUAGUCCUAGCUGUAAACGAUGUUAAACUUGGCGUCGGUGGCUUCAAAACCGUCGGUGCCGCAGCUAA